GACGAACGCUGGCGGCGUGCUUAACACAUGCAAGUCGAGCGGUAAGGCCCUUUCGGGGUACGACGAGCGGCGAACGGGUGAGUAACACGUGGGUGACCUCGCCCUCCAGCUCUGGGAUAAGCCUGGGAAACCGGGUCUAAUACUGGAUAUGACUCCAUGACGCAUGUUGUGGGGUGGAAAGCCUUGUGCGGCUGAGGAUGGGCCCGCGGCCUAUCAGCUUGUUGGUGGGGUGANGG
rnacentral:rRNA from 1 species